GACGAACGCUGGCGGCGUGCCUAAUACAUGCAAGUAGAACGCACAGUUUAUACCGUAGCUUGCUACACCAUAGACUGUGAGAUGCGAACGGGUGAGGAACGCGUAGGUAACCUGCCUGGUAGCGGGGGAUAACUAUUGGAAACGAUAGCUAAUACCGCAUAAUAUUGAUUAUUGCAUGAUAAUUGCUAGAAAGAAGCUAUGGCAUCACUACCCGAUGGACCUGCGAUGUAUUAGCUAGUAGGUGAGGUAACGGCUCACCUAGGCGUCGAUACAUAGCCGACCGCGGGGGUGAUCAGCCUCCCUGGGAAUUUGACUCGGCCCAAAUUCCUUCGGGAGGCCGCCGUAGGGAAUCUUCCGCAAUAGCCGGAAGUCUGCGCGGGCAACGCCGCGUGGGUGAAGAAGGUUUUCGGAUCGUAUAGCUCCGUUUUCUGAGAAGAACGGGUGUGAGAGUGGAAAGUUCACACUGUGACGGUAUCUUACCAGAAAGGAACGGCUAACUACGUG
rnacentral:rRNA from 1 species